rnacentral:rRNA from 1 species
UUGUUUUUUCAAAAACAUGUCUUAAUGUGCAUAGUAUAUUAAGUCUAACCUGCUCAGUGAUUUUAAUUAAAUAGCCGCAGUAUUUUGACUGUGCGAAGGUAGCAUAAUCAUUUGUCUUUUAAUUGAAGGCUUGUAUGAAUGGUUGGAUGAAAAAACUGCUUUCUUUAUAUUAUUUUUAUGAAUUUAAUUUUUUAGUUAAAAAGCUAAGAUUUUUAAAUGGGACGAGAAGACCCUAUAGAAUUUUAUUACUAGGAUUAAUUGAUAAUAAUUUUGGUUAUUGGUUUUUCGAUUUAUUUAGUAAUUUUGUUGGGGUGACAUUGAGAUUUAUUUAACUCUCAUAUUUUUAGGUUAUUAAUUAAUAUAUUCAAGAUCCUGUUUUACAGAUAUAUAGAUUAAAUUACCUUAGGGAUAACAGCGUAAUUUCUUUGGAGAGUUCAUAUCGAUAAAGAAGAUUGCGACCUCGAUGUUGGAUUAAAAUUAGAGUUAAGUGCAGAAGCUUAAUAUCUAGGUCUGUUCGACCUUCAAAUUUUUACAUGAUCUAAUUUCCAACCCGGAU